AUCAGAUUUAGUUCUCUCUGGGUCAAUAACGAUAUGAAACACCUUUGCCUCGAUGACAAGUGACUUCUGGCUUUCAGAUCACAAAGGUGCCGCACUCCAAUGAGAAUAACCACUGCCCUCCACUAUAUAUUCAUUGGCAUUGCCAUCGAUGGGUUCAUCACUGUCAAUCAGCAGAUGGGGGGGGGGGGCGAUCCAAGUAAUUAGUAAAUCUCCAGGAUCGUACAUGCAGUAACACGUGAUCUUUGUAGUAUUGUGGAACAUGACCAGAACUUGAAAUAAUCCCAAAGGAGAGAGACAAAUUGGGCCAAGUCACAGGUUGAUUGUAGUCAGAAACAGCCCAUUCUCAUAAAGACAGGGAUAUAGUCAGAUAAUUUGAUGGUCAGUCAGAGUGUCUGAUCCAAGCCUUGUUAGAAGAUGAGUGCUUAUGGAAACAUGGAAAUCUACAAUAUAAUACACAGUGUGCCGUCCAUGUAACCUGUUCCAGAAACUGCCUCCUAUUUCCCAACUGCAUUGCACUCUGUGUAUUCUGAGCUCCAUGAAGUUAUCUGAAUCUCUCAAAAGACUGCAUAGUAUCUGUCUGUACUGUCAUCGCUGGCUGUGUAUUCCAUACACCUGCUACUCUGUGUGAGAAACCUAUCUAUGACAUUCCAAUCGACCAAGCACCUUAAAACAAUGCCCCUUGUGUUUGCCAAUUCAGCCCCAGGAAAAAGCCUCUGGCUGUCCACACGAUCAAUGCCUCUCAUCAUCUUUUACACAUCUAUCAGGUCACCUCUCAUCCUCCUUCGCUACAAAGUUCACUCAACCUAUUGUCAUAAGGCAUGUUCUCCAAUCCAUGCAACAUCCUUGUAAAUCUCCUCUGCACUCUUUCUAUAGUAUCCACAUCCUUCCUGUAAUGAGGAAACUGAACAGAAUACUCGAAGUGGGGUAUAAAUCAGGUCUUGUACAGCUGCAACAUUACCUCACCACUCGUGAAUUCAGUUCCAUGGUUGAUGAAGGCCUUAUUAACAACAAUGACAAUCAGCGCUGCAGCUUUAAUUGUAAAAUUGACAUGGACCCCAAUAUCUCGCUGAUCCUCCACACUGCCAAGAGUCCUAACAUAAUAUUGUAUUCCAAAUCAGGUUGGAUAGAUUUUGGCAUAGUAGGGGAAUUAAGGGUUAUGGGGAAAAGGCAGGUAGGUGGAGAUGCCCAUCGCCAGAUCAGGCAUGUCCUUAUUAAAUGUUGGAGCAGGCUCGACGGGCCGGACGGCCGACUCCUGCUCCUAUUUCUUAUUUUCUCACCACAGACUAUAAUCUCUCCUGAAAUACUCUCCUUCUCCCAUUGAUGUCUUUUGCAAAUAUUUUUUACAGGUUUGAAAUGGCAGAACACUUGCGCAUGGGAAUCUCAAACACAACAACACAUCAGUUUUGCUGAAUGACUGGAUAUUUAAGGAGUGACCAAAUAUUUUCUUUGCAGCACCAACACCUCUGUUGUCGAUCCACGGAGGUGAAGAAUUAUCUCAUAACAUCUGGUAAUGUGUUCUGUCACUGAAAUCAAGCAUUCUGUUGUAACUCAGUGAAAUCCACUUGAACCGGGGUGCUGAGAACACACCAGCAUUUGUUCACUGGAGAUCAGUUCUUCUACUGCAUUGAUUGUAGACGGGAUUCAAACGUCUGACUGUCUGAAUUGCAGAGAAUUGAUCGCAGUGAGAUAUCAUUCUCCUUCUCUCAGUGUGGGAGGGGAUUCACUCACAGCCUACCCGCAGACACGCUGGUGAGUUCACAUUAGGGAGAGGCCAUUCACCUGCUCUGUGUGAGGGAGGGGAACUACUCAAUCAUCCAGCCUGAAGAUACAUCAGCAAGUUCACACCACAGUGAGAUGCUCCACCUGUUCUGACAGCGGGAAGCAAAACAUUCUGUCAUCGAUGCUGAAGAUAUAUCCUAAAGUUCACCAGUGAGAGGACAUUGACCUGCUCGGAUGGUGGGAAGACAUUCACACGCUCAACCAGACCACAGUGACACCAAUGAGUUCACACCGGGGAGAAGCCAUUCACCUGCUCUGAAUAGGGGAAGAUAUUCACUCAUUCGUCCACACUACAUAGACACCAGCGAGUUCACACUGGGGAGAGGCCAUUCUCCUGCUCCUGAAAGGAGUCAAAUCACCUGCUGCAACAUCAGUUAGUUCACACUAGGGAGAUGCCAUUCACAUGCUCAGACUGUGGGAAAGGAUUCACCCAGUCAUCUCAACUGAAGGAGCAUCAGCGAGUCCACACUGAGGAGAAGCCAUUCACUUGCUCUGAAUGUGGGAAAGGAUUUGCUCGGUCAUCUGAACUGAAGGUACAUCAGCGAGUUCACACUGGGGAGAGGCCAUUCACCUGCUCAGACUGUGGGAAGGGAUUCACUCACUCGUCCAACCUGCACAGACACCAGCGAGUUCACACUGGGGAGAAGCCAUUUAUCUGCUCUGAAUGUGGGAAGGUAUUUGCUCAGUCAUCUGAACUGAAGUCCCAUCAGCGAGUCCACACUGGGGAGAAGCCAUUCACUUGCUCAGAAUGUGGGAAAGGAUUCGCUCGGUCAUCUGUACUGAAGUCACAUCAGCGAGUUCACACUCGGGCGAUGCCAUUCACCUGCGCAGACUGUGGGAAGGGAUUCACUCACUCGUCCAAUCUACAGAGACAUCAGCGAGUUCACACUGGGGAGAAGCCAUUCACAUGCUCUGAAUGUGGGAAAGGAUUCGCUCAGUCAUCUGAACUGAAGUCACAUCAGCGAGUUCAUACGGGAGAGAAGCCAUUCACCUGCUCUGACUGUGGGAAAGGAUUUGCUCGGUCAUUUGAACUGAAGUUACAUCAACGAGUUCACACUAGUGAGAGGCCGUUCACCUGCUCUGACUGUGGGAAGGGAUUCACUCACUCGUCCAAUCUACACAGACACCAGCGAGUCCACACUGGAGAGAAGCCAUUCAUAUGCUCUGAAUGUGGGAAACGAUUUGCCCAGACAGCUCAACUGAAGUUACAUCAGCGAGUCCACACUGGGGAGAGGCCGUUCACUUGCUCUGAAUGUGGGAAGGGAUUUGCUCAGUCAUCUGAACUGAAGGUACAUCAGCGAGUUCACACUGGUGAGAGGCCGUUCAGCUGCUCAGAAUGUGGGAAAGGAUUCAUUCGUUCAUCUCAACUCCUGAGACACCAGCAAAUUCAUACUGGGGAGAAACCAUUCAUCUGCUCAGAAUGUGGGAAGGGAUUCACCGAUUCAGUUCAUCUGAAAGAACAUCAGUUUGUUCACACUGUGGAGAGGCCGUUCACCUGCUCAGACUGUGGGAAAGGAUUCACUCGGCGUUUUAGUCUAUUAACGCACCAGUUAGAUCACAGUGAGGAGAAACCAUUCAUAUGCUCUGAAUGUGGGAAAGGAUUCACACAGUCAUCUCAACUGAAGGAGCAUCAGCGAGUCCACACUGGGGAGAAGCCGUUCAUCUGCUCUGAAUGUGGGAAGGGAUUUGCUCAGUCAUCUCAACUGAAGUUACAUCAGCGAGUCCACACUGGGGAGAGGCCAUUCAACUGCUCUGAAUGUGGGAAAGGAUUCAGUCGUUCUUCUCAACUCCUGAGACACCAGCGAAUUCACACUGGGGAGAAACCAUUCAUCUGCCCAGAGUGUGGGAAGGGAUUCACCGAUUCAGCUCAGCUGAAAGAACAUCAGUUUGUUCACACUGGGGAGAGGCCAUUCACCUGCUCAGACUGUGGGAAAAGAUUCAGUCGUUCAUCUCAGCUCUCGAGGCAUCAGCAAAUUCACACUGGGGAGAAACCAUUCUGAGGAAAUGCGGAUAUAUAAAAAAUUAUUUUGAACCUAAGUAACCUCUAGAUAAAAGAAUAAUUGGGACUGAACAGGAAUUUUUGAACUAAAGUAAACUCUGUCUUCAGCAGUUAAGAAACUCAAUGGCUUAUACUGGUUUCCUUUUAAUUGUCAGAGGGACAUUGAGAAUUUGAUAAUAUAUAUUGUACUCGUGUUUGAGUCAGGACUCAUCGAUAAGGUCAGCAAUGAACAUCGGUCUGGAAUGAAGUCAGGACCUUGCAAAGGGAAUAGCUGAUAAGGACUGGACUGUAUAUCCAUCUAUAUUCAAGCCUUGAGUUAGUGCACUCUGUUAUCUAAGACAUUAAGUUUUGCACCAACAGACUUGGUGGGCGUACCAGUUCUAAUAGCAGCUUGCAACAGUGAUGUAUGGGACUUACUAUGUAUGAAUAUACUGCUGUAACCUGACUGAGAGAGUCCACUUGUCAGAUGGUUGGCAGCACUGACAUGCCUUCCCUCUGAUAACUGGGUCUCAGACUCUUGCAAGAGAAUGCAAUAAACUGUGGUGCCGAGAGGAAACUGGUCUCCCGAGUUUAACAUUGGGUGUCACGAACAGGAUCCCAAUACAGAGAGUGCGAAGCAGACAGACGGAGUAAGCGGCCGGACCACUCCGGGAACUGUGGAGACCGACCAGGUGCCCAACGGGUAUUUCACCUUUUGUCGCUCACCGUCAGUUCCUGUGGAGGCACGGUUCCUCGCCGAAGGCUGCUUGCAUAUCUUGACGGGAUCGGGAAUGUCUCUGUCGGAAGACUUGUAUAAGAAAGCAGCUGCAAAGCGUGCACACGCCCAGCUAAUCCACAGCCACUUCCAGGACAGCAGCGACACG